rnacentral:rRNA from 1 species
AUGGGCGAAGCCUGAUCCAGCCAUGCCGCGUGUGUGAAGAAGGUCUUCGGAUUGUAAAGCACUUUAAGUUGGGAGGAAGGGCAGUAAGCUAAUACCUUGCUGUUUUGACGUUACCGACAGAAUAAGCACCGGCUAACUCUGUGCCAGCAGCCGCGGUAAUACGA